GUUACGUGUGACAUCAACGGCUUAAAAAAGAAGAUUAAAAGUGCAUUUGUUAGUAGAGAACAAGAACCAGAAGUUAUGAUGCUUCAGCAAUGUUAGUUGCAACAACCACUUUUCUUUUACCAGGAGGCGUAGGCUUGAAAAUCCUGGAUUGCAUUUCACUAAGGAGUGCACUAUAAACUGGUAAAAUUAUAAGUUCGGGUACGCUUUUACCUAAUCCUUUCACUCUCUCAUAGAGACACUAGCAAGCAUGAUAAAUUUAUUCUUGACUUGUUAAAAAAAACAAGGAUGUCACCUUCAGGUUCUGUUAAACUGGAUUUGCAUUUCAGUAAUAAGUGCAGCAUCAAGGUAGCCACUUUUGAGUUGUUUGGUACCCCAAACUGCAUGAGAAAUCAGUCAAAAGUAAGCUAACAACUGUUCAAAACAACACAAGUACAGAUCUUCCUUUCAACCUCUACAAAAACAUGAAAUUAAGCAGCAAAAUACGUUUAAAUUGAAGUAAUUAAAGUGAUCGAUCAUACAUUUUAAGCUGAUGCGUGUGUGUGCUCAGGAGACUAUCAAAACAGGUGUAAGAGUUUGAAAGAAGAAAAGAGGGAGAUCGAAGAGGAGAAAGAAAAAGUUGGAGCUGGAUCUUAGCCAGAUGGGAGCUGAGCUUAGAGAGAGAGAUAGUUCAGACAAAGGCAGAGAAAGUGAAGAAGCGAGAUUAGUGAUGGCGUUGAGCCGGCCGUCGGAUGUAUCUAUAUCGCUCCCUAUGCAUUAUUCACACUUUUGAGUUUUGCCAUUGUGUUCCAGUGUGAUUGAAUCUGAGAAACAUAUUUUGCGUAUGGCGAAACAAAUAAGAUGUUCGUGUUUCCCAUUCUAAAUAAAUUUCUGCACAUUAGACGUAUAGUCAUUGCAUACGUUAAGUUAUUUCCUUCAAAUUUCGUUCGUGUCCUUUUUUCUGCAGACCCAGCAUUAUUAGUUGAUGUUCCAAGAGAUAAUAACAUAACAGCCGAAGCCGAAGUUAUGAAGUCCUUGAACAUUCCCAAGGGGGUAAAGCGUGUGCUUUUCAGAACAUUGAACACCGAUAGGAGGUUAAUGUGGAAAAAACAAUUUGACACAAGCUAUGUUGGAUUUAUGAAGGAUGGAGAACAGGGGCUCAAGGAUUUAUCAAAAUCCUUAUAAGGGUCUAGAUUAGCCAAGAGAUUGAUAGUUGACUCCACAAACAAUAAUAUGUUCUAGCACUUGUGUUAUUAAUAAUAUCAAAAAGGCAUACUGAGGAUCAUUGUAUUAUUAAUAAUAUAUCAAUUAUUAUGUGUCUUGAACUGGUGUUGUGGAUCAUUUUUAAAAGAAUAUGUUGCUA